rnacentral:rRNA from 1 species
UACGUAGGGGGCAAGCGUUGUCCGGAAUUAUUGGGCGUAAAGAGCGUGUAGGCGGUCCGGUAAGUCAGCUGUGAAAGUCAAGGGCUCAACCCUUGAAAGCCGGUUGAUACUGUCGGGCUAGAGUCCGGAAGAGGCGAGUGGAAUUCCCGGUGUAGCGGUGAAAUGCGCAGAUAUCGGGGAGGAACACCAAUGGCGAAGGCAGCUCGCUGGGACGGUACUGACGCUGAGACGCGAAAGCGUGGGGAGCAAACAGG